CUCAGAUCACAAUGACUGAAUGGAUCCAGCAGAGGACAAACGUUUAAUUAGUGCUUCCUAAAUAUGAAAAAAAAACAAAGUGCAAAACCUUCUAACCAGGCUGGUCUAGUGUCUCCAUAAAAUUACAGUCUUUAGUCCACAUUUGAAAACUGCUGAUGGUCAGCAGCUUCUAUCAACAUAAAGACCCCAGUAACCAUCUGGUGACACAAUACUACAAAGAAUGUUCUAUUUUUAUAUUAGAUAUUUUCCACCAUUUUCUCGGACCUCUAAUUAUCCAAUCAGCAGGCGGCUCCAGGUGUUCAGCAGCUUUAUCAUCCUCAGGUGAGGCGGCAGUCUGCAGCAGCUUCCAGCCGCUCUUCGGUGCUUCCCGGCGGGCAGAGAGCAGCGCAGUGGACCGGAGCAUGUCGGCGGCUAACAGACGGAUGACGAUGGCCUGGGUUUGGCCCGCUUUGGUGCUUCUAGCCCGGCUCACCACGGCAGAGGAACCGCGUCGGGACGCACACGGGGCUUUGGCCGGCUCCGAGGCGCUGAUCUCGGACUCCGAGCCGCCGAUGGAGACCCGCAGCGGGGGAGGCCUCCUGCCGGUGCUGGUGUGGAAGUUUGUGAAAGAUGCUGCAGAUGCAUCAGAUUUGGGCCGACCGCAGUUUCUCUGCAGCGACACGUCACUCUCUGUUCGCUUGUCGCUCAUCCGAUACUCUGACCUGCAUCUGCAAGGUGAGUCUGAUUGAUCCACCUGCUGCUGCUGCACCGCCUCACUCCACAGAGGCUCUGGAAGCUUUCUGCUUCAUCUCAGUGUUCAGCCUCUGAUGCUCUUUGUGGUCCCCAUGAUGCCUCACCUGCAGACAGGUAACAGGGAGGGUAAAAAGGAAGUGAGGGGAGCUGCUCCCUCUGCUGACUGAACUGCAUGAUUACAAGGUAGAAGUUGAGACUGAUUCAGAUCAAACUUCAGCUUCAGACAUGAUCUGGAUGGGUCAGGUUGGCAUCAUGUUGCUGACUGCAUCAUCUUAAUAUUGACUGAGCCCAAAUUUGACUUCAGGGUUUAAAUGUGUUCAAAUACACAACUGUAGCUGAAAUAAAAGUUAAUCAGACUAAAGUGUUGAUUGGAUGAAUUUCUUAAAAGCUACUUUAUCAAGAAAAUGAAGUCAAGAACCCUUUGAUUCCUGUUUCAAUGAGAUAAUAGUAGUUGGAAGAUGUGAACUGUGAGGAAUCAGCUUCAGGUUGUUUCUGCUAAAAAUGCAGUAAAUAAAAUGGCUUUGUUUGAGAGAAGGAACUAAUUCCCUGAACUCAGUGUAGUUUGUUGGUUGAACAUAAUUUCAUUAGAAGUUUUGGUAGUUCCAAGAUGAAG
ensembl:lncRNA